AUUGAACGCUGGCGGAAUGCUUUACACAUGCAAGUCGAACGGUAGAGGGGGCAACCCCUCGAGAGUGGCGAACGGGUGAGUAAUAUAUCGGAACGUGCCCAGUCGCGGGGGAUAACGUAGCGAAAGUUACGCUAAUACCGCAUACGAUCUAAGGAUGAAAGCGGGGGAUCGCAAGACCUCGCGCGAUUGGAGCGGCCGAUAUCAGAUUAGGUAGUUGGUGGGGUAAAGGCUCAUCAAGCCAACGAUCUGUAGCUGGUCUGAGAGGAUGAUCAGCCACACUGGGAAUGGGACAGGGCCCAGACUCCUACGGGAGGCAGCAGUGGGGAAUUUUGGACAAUGGACGCAAGUUUGAUCCAGCCAUUCCGCGUGCAGGAUGAAGGCCCUCGGGUUGUAAACUGCUUUUGUACAGAACGAAAAGGCUCUGGUUAAUACCUAGGGCUCAUGACGGUACUGUAAGAAUAAGCACCGGCUAACUACGUGCCAGCCGCCGCCGUAA
rnacentral:rRNA from 1 species